rnacentral:rRNA from 1 species
UCCUGGCUCAGGAUGAACGCUAGCUACAGGCUUAACACAUGCAAGUCGAGGGGCAGCAUUGGAGUAGCAAUACUCAGAUGGCGACCGGCGCACGGGUGAGUAACACGUAUCCAACCUGCCGCUUACUCGGGGAUAGCCUUUCGAAAGAAAGAUUAAUACCCGAUGGUAUAAAGAGUUCGCAUGUUCUCUUUAUUAAAGAAUUUCGGUAAGCGAUGGGGAUGCGUUCCAUUAGAUUGUUGGCGGGGUAACGGCCCACCAAGUCUACGAUGGAUAGGGGUUCUGAGAGGAAGGUCCCCCACACUGGUACUGAGACACGGACCAGACUCCUACGGGAGGCAGCAGUGAGGAAUAUUGGUCAAUGGACGAGAGUCUGAACCAGCCAAGUCGCGUGCAGGAAGAAUGUCCUAUUGGAUUGUAAACUGCUUUUGCAGGGGAAUAAAGUGCAUCACGUGUGAUGUUUUGUAUGUACUCUGCGAAUAAGGAUCGGCUAACUCCGUGCCAGCAGCUGC